rnacentral:rRNA from 1 species
CCUACGGGCGGCAGCAGUGGGGAAUAUUGCACAAUGGGCGAAAGCCUGAUGCAGCAACGCCGCGUGAGUGAAGAAGGUUCUCGGAUUGUAAAGCUCUGUUAGCAGGGAAGAGGAAGGACGGUACCUGCAGAGGAAGCCACGGCUAACUACGUGCCAGGAGCCGCGGUAAUACGUAGGUGGCAAGCGUUGUUCUGAAUAACUGGGCGUAAAGGAUGCGUAGGGGGUUAAACAAGUGAUGUGUUAAAUAUAUAGGCUUAACUUGUAGAAAGCAUAUAAAACUGGUGAACUAGAGUGCAGGAGAGGUAAGUGGAAUUACUAGUGUAGCGGUGAAAUGCGUAGAGAUGAGGAAGAACACCAGUGGCGAAGGCGACUUACUGGACUGUAACUGACGCUGAGGCAUGAGAGCAUGGGGAGCAAACAGGAUUAGAUACCCUAGUAGUC